GGAUCGAUGAUGACUAUUUAAAAAAUGGAUUUCAUCGGAAUCUGAACAAAAUGAGUGACCAAAUCAUUUUUGUGCCACUUCUGUGAGCUGAGGUCC
ensembl:snoRNA SNORD116 Small nucleolar RNA SNORD116